AACGAACGCUGGCGGCAGGCUUAACACAUGCAAGUCGAACGCAUCCUUCGGGGUGAGUGGCAGACGGGUGAGUAACGCGUGGGAACGUGCCCUUCAGUUCGGGAUAACCCAGGGAAACUUGGGCUAAUACCGGAUACGUGCGAGAGCAGAAAGAUUUAUCGCUGAAGGAUCGGCCCGCGUCUGAUUAGCUAGUUGGUGGGGUAAUGGCCUACCAAGGCGACGAUCAGUAGCUGGUCUGAGAGGAUGAUCAGCCACAUUGGGACUGAGACACGGCCCAAACUCCUACGGGAGGCAGCAGUGGGGAAUAUUGGACAAUGGGCGCAAGCCUGAUCCAGCCAUGCCGCGUGAGUGAUGAAGGCCUUAGGGUUGUAAAGCUCUUUCGUCCGGGACGAUAAUGACGGUACAGGAAGAAGAAGCCCCGGCUAACUUCGUGCCAGCCGCCGCAGUAA
rnacentral:rRNA from 1 species